AUGUCAUUCAGACCCACCGUUUCGUAGCGCGCGGUCCGUUCCCACCUGACGACCGCUCGCGACGUCUGUCAGCC
rnacentral:sRNA from 2 species